rnacentral:rRNA from 1 species
CAUGCAAGUCGAGCGGUAGCACAGAGAGCUUGCUCUCGGGUGACGAGCGGCGGACGGGUGAGUAAUGUCUGGGAAACUGCCUGAUGGAGGGGGAUAACUACUGGAAACGGUAGCUAAUACCGCAUAACGUCGCAAGACCAAAGAGGGGGACCUUCGGGCCUCUUGCCAUCAGAUGUGCCCAGAUGGGAUUAGCUAGUAGGUGGGGUAACGGCUCACCUAGGCGACGAUCCCUAGCUGGUCUGAGAGGAUGACCAGCCACACUGGAACUGAGACACGGUCCAGACUCCUACGGGAGGCAGCAGUGGGGAAUAUUGCACAAUGGGCGCAAGCCUGAUGCAGCCAUGCCGCGUGUAUGAAGAAGGCCUUCGGGUUGUAAAGUACUUUCAGCGGGGAGGAAGGUGUUGUGGUUAAUAACCACAGCAAUUGACGUUACCCGCAGAAGAAGCACCGGCUAACUCCGUGCCAGCAGCCGCGGUAAUACGGAGGGUGCAAGCGUUAAUCGGAAUUACUGGGCGUAAAGCGCACGCAGGCGGUCUGUCAAGUCGGAUGUGAAAUCCCCGGGCUCAACCUGGGAACUGCAUUCGAAACUGGCAGGCUAGAGUCUUGUAGAGGGGGGUAGAAUUCCAGGUGUAGCGGUGAAAUGCGUAGAGAUCUGGAGGAAUACCGGUGGCGAAGGCGGCCCCCUGGACAAAGACUG